rnacentral:rRNA from 1 species
GCAUAUCAAUAAGCGGAGGAAAAGAAACCAACAGGGAUUGCCUUAGUAGCGGCGAGUGAAGCGGCAAUAGCUCAAAUUUGAAAUCUGGCGCCUUCGGUGUCCGAGUUGUAAUUUGAAGAAGGUAUCUUUGGUUUUGGCUCUUGUCUAUGUUUCUUGGAACAGGACGUCAUAGAGGGUGAGAAUCCCGUCUGAUGAGAUGCCCAAUUCCAUGUAAAGUUCCUUCGACGAGUCGAGUUGUUUGGGAAUGCAGCUCUAAGUGGGUGGUAAAUUCCAUCUAAAGCUAAAUAUUGGCGAGAGACCGAUAGCGAACAAGUACUGUGAAGGAAAGAUGAAAAGAACUUUGAAAAGAGAGUGAAAAAGUACGUGAAAUUGUUGAAAGGGAAGGGUUUAAGGUCAGACUUGGUUUACCAGGCCAGCAUCGGUUUAGAUGGCAGGAUAAUGGCGUAGGAAUGUGGCUUUGCUUCGGUAAAGUGUUAUAGCCUGCGUUGAUACUGCCUAUUUAGACCGAGGACUGCGUCUUUGACAAGGAUGCUGGCAUAAUGGCCUUAAGCCACCCGUCUUGAAACACGGACC